UAGUCCCCACCCCCACCACCAGAAGUCAUCGACUGUGAAGAGCUACACUUUAGCAUCUUUGCCACAUAUUUUUAAAGACUCUCUUCAAUAGCUUCUUGUCUGGAUUGUUUCUUUUGAGGAGGAAGGGAUUGUCACAGAAGCCCUUAAUGUCUGAUUCUCAGUUAUGAGUCUGCAGUCAUCCAUACCACUGCAAAAGAAGUUUCCUUUCCCACAGCACCCGGUGACAGCACAGAGCACAGACAUCAACAUAGCUUCUGGCAGCAACAUGGAUCACAGACAUCAGCAUGGCCUGCCCUAGCAGCACAGACUAAGGACAUCAGCAUGGACCAUGGUCAUCAGCAUGGUCUCCCACGGCAGCACGUACCACCGACACACUGACCACAGAAGUCUUUUGAGGAGACUUAGCCAGAAAAUGAAUCAUUCUUCCUCUUGUAUAUCUUGCUGCUGGGUCUGGGUGAUCAUGGAGUUGGGCAGUUUGUCAGGGGGCAGGACCUGCGUGAGCUCCAGGCUGCUGUGUACCACCUUGCCUCGGUGCCACCCUGCACCUUGGGCAAGACCGGCAUGCUUGCAGCCUGUAGGCCACACUGCUGCAGCCCCACGCUCUUCUCUUUCCACGCAGGGCGAGCAGCACAAGCGGCGGAGGCGGCAGCAGCAAUGAUCCCCCAUGGCUCCUGAUGCACCAUUUCUUUAAGGGAAAAUGCAACAUGCAUAUGGCCCAGUGCGUGGGAACCUUCAGUCAUCCCUCACACCACUUCUGCCUCUGCAUUCUUGACAGUCCUGGUACGUUCAGAGGAGACCUGUCUUCUGUGUGAAGAUUGUUUAGAGAAGGCAAAGGCAAAGCCAUCAUCAGAGAAGGCUGGGAAGAGGCCCAGUCAUGGCAGCCUUCAGCUGGGUCUAGUCCAUGGCUAUCCAGUGAACUGAAUGUACUCUUCUGGGAGACCUUGGCAAGGUCAGCAGAAGAGUCACCCAGUUGAGCUCAGCUCUAAUUGCAGAAUCAUGAGCAGAAUGAAACAGCUUUCGUCUUAUGCCACUUAGUUCCCAGACAGCUUUCACACUGGACUAGAAAGACAAAAAACAACUACAAUCAUAAUUCUUGAAAACAGAGGUUGGCAAAGGUUUCAGACUAAGUCAAGAUCCUGGCCCUUUUCCAUAGGGAUGUGAGGAAACAUGGUGGUGCUAAUUUGGCUCAACCUAUAUCUGUAUGAACCUUGUUUUGUAGCUUUGAUGAGCAGGCCCUGCAGGCUGUGCUGUGUCUCUCAUUUGUAAAUCUCCCAAUCUAUAACCACCAUCCCCAACCACCUUCUUUGAUGGUCCCCCACACUCUGGGUCCCCAUCUGUCUGCUCUAAGUUACUUGCUCUAGGGUCAAACACCAGGCACCUGAGAGCAGCCCUGUGUCUUGGAGACUGCUGCAGCCAUUGAAACCAGCAGGGCAAUAGAAACUUGCACUCACGUUCUUACCUGCUCCCCCUGUGCCAUGAUCAACUUGUCCUUCCCUUUGUGGCCCUUGCCCCCACUAGCCUGGUUUUCUCCCUUCUUUUAGGAUCUGAGAGUGUAACAAACCUUUUCCAGUGGUGUGCCAUUACUAUUUAAAAUAAUAAUGACACGUAUUUUAAAACAGUGAUCUGUGAGUAUAAAUGAGGGGACAAAUCCCACAGCCAGUGCCACUCUGGUAAGUGACUAAGAUGGACAAGGCAGAAGAGGCCGACAAGGACAGGAUGUCCCCUGUGUCACCCAGAGGGACCCACCUCCCCAACACCAGCCUUUCAUCGUGUGCCCUAAUUUCUAAGGAGUUACAUAUUGUUCCAUUGAAAAUAAGUCCUGUGUCUGAAUGUUUCCCCAUAAUUUGCAUGAUGGCUCUAGGAAAUGAUUUGUUGUCUUCUUUAUACAGAAGUGGAAAUCAAGGGUUAGAAUAAAUAAAAUGCUGCAAGCAGAAGGAGA